AUUGAACGCUGGCGGCAUGCCUUACACAUGCAAGUCGAACGGCAGCACGGGUGCUUGCCCCUGGUGGCGAGUGGCGAACGGGUGAGUAAUACAUCGGAACAUGUCCUGUAGUGGGGGAUAGCCCGGCGAAAGCCGGAUUAAUACCGCAUACGAUCUACGGAUGAAAGCGGGGGACCUUCGGGCCUCGCGCUAUAGGGUUGGCCGAUGGCUGAUUAGCUAGUUGGUGGGGUAAAGGCCUACCAAGGCGACGAUCAGUAGCUGGUCUGAGAGGACGACCAGCCACACUGGGACUGAGACACGGCCCAGACUCCUACGGGAGGCAGCAGUGGGGAAUUUUGGACAAUGGGCGAAAGCCUGAUCCAGCAAUGCCGCGUGUAUGAAGAAGGCCUUCGGGUUGUAAAGCACUUUUGUCCGGAAAGAAAUCCUUGGCCCUAAUACGGUCGGGGGAUGACGGUACCGGAAGAAUAAGCACCGGCUAACUACGUG
rnacentral:rRNA from 1 species